rnacentral:rRNA from 1 species
CAAUAGCGUAUAUUAAAGUUGUUGCAGUUAAAAAGCUCGUAGUUGAAUUUCUGGCGGGCGCGCCGGUCUUCCAAGUGUUGUACUGGGCGCAGUCCGCCAUCCUUGUGGAGAGGGCUCGCAUUGAGUUGCGUGUCGGAUCUGCAUCAUUUACUGUGAAAAAAUUAGAGUGUUUAAAGCAGGCUGUCGCUUGAAUACAUUAGCAUGGAAUAAUAAGAUAGGACUUCGGUCUAUUUUGUUGGUUGCGAACCGAGGUAAUGAUUAAUAGGGAUAGUUGGGGGUAUUCAUAUUUAAUUGUCAGAGGUGAAAUUCUUGGAUUUAUGAAAGAUGAAUAACUGCGAAAGCAUUUACCAAGGAUGUUUUCAUUAA